rnacentral:rRNA from 2 species
UGCUUGCACUAAGAUGAUUUUGGAUCCGACUGAGUGGCGAACUGGUGAGUAACACGUGGGUAACCUGCCCAGAAGAAGGGGAUAACACCUGGAAACAGAUGCUAAUACCGUAUAACAACAAGAACCACAUGGUUCUUGUUUGAAAGCUGGCCUUUGUGCUAGUGCUUCUGGAUGGACCCGCGGCGUAUUAGCUAGUUGGUGAGAUAAUAGCUCACCAAGGCAAUGAUACGUAGCAGACCUGAGAGGGUAAUCUGCCACAAUGGGACUGAGACACGGCCCAUACUCCUACGGGAGGCAGCAGUAGGGAAUCUUCCACAAUGGACGAAAGUCUGAUGGAGCAACGCCGCGUGAGUGAAGAAGGGUUUCGGCUCGUAAAACUCUGUUGUUAGAGAAGAACAGCCGUGAGAGCAACUGCUCACGGUAUGACGGUAUCUAACCAGAAAGUCACGGCUAACUACGUGCCAGCAGCCGCGGUAAUACGUAGGUGGCAAACGUUGUCCGGAUUUAUUGGGCGUAAAGGGAGCGCAGGCGGUUUAUUAAGUCUGAUGUGAAAGCCUUCGGCUUAACCGGAGAAGUGCAUCGGAAACUGAUAAACUUGAGUGCAGAAAAGGAUAGUGGAACUUCAUGUGUAGCGGUGAAAUGCGUAGAUAUAUGAAGGAACACCAGUGGCGAAGGCGGCUAUCUGGUCUGUAACUGACGCUGAGGCUCGAAAGCAUGGGUAGCAAACAGGAUUAGAUACCCUGGUAGUCCAUGCCGUAAACGAUGAAUGCUAGGUGUU